GGGCGAGCGGCGAAGAUGGGGAGUCGCACCGGACUGUAAAUCCGGCUCGUACAGAUGAGUAGGUUCGAAUCCUACCUCGCCCACCA
rnacentral:tRNA from 1 species